GGAUGUGAUCCCAGGACUGACAUAGAGGGUGAGGAUUAAAUGAAAUAGCUCUGAUAAAGUUGUGGAUACACACCUGGCACGUAGCCAACACUCCAUAAAUGUUAGUUAUUUCAAGGACAGUUUUGAAGCCGCCACAGUGCCUGCCUGAGACAGGUGUCCUAAAGGAGCUGGUGUGUGAAAUGACUGAACAGAGGAACCAAAGGGAGAACAUGGAUCACUGCCUGGAUGGAUGACUCGUAUGCAGAGAAAGGAGACUGCCCUUGUUUGGAGAUAAUGGAAAGAGUGCCUGUUCAAAGAUUCUCUCCCACUGCUCUGUCCUGUGCAAUGUUCUCAUUAGAGCUGACUUUCUCCGAGAUUUAGAAUGAAUGCUCUGAAAAUGAGGACUCCAGUAGGGCAUGAGAUGUCUGCUUAUAUUCGUUCCAAAGCAGUUCAUCUGGUCAUUCCAAACGUAUACUCCACCCAUGCAGAUGGUGGGGAAGGAGGAGGGUGUUUCUGAGCAAUAAUCCACGCUUGCAUUGAAGACCACGGAUAAGGUACAUGGAAGAUGCCCUUCACCCUCUCUGCAGAGG